UCCGUUGUGUGUUAUUUAAAUUUAAAAUUCGAGCGAAAUAUCGCCAAUUCAACGUCAAAUCCCACUUUAAAUUUUAAUGUUGGUAAUAAAGUUAGUUAGUUAGUGGUACCGUGGCAUGAUGGUUAGUGCGUUGGACUGUCAUGCUAGAGGUCUUGGGUUCGAUCCCUGCCUAUGCCAUCUAAAGUCUUUUCACGGGUACUGCCUCUUGCGAGGAAUUGACAAAUUCUCCAAGAGUAACUAUUGUCAUGAAAAAGUGCUUUCUCAAAAAUUAGCCGUUCGGAGUCGGCAUAUAAACUGUAGGUCCCCUCCAUUCCUGACAACAUUACUCGCGCACAGUAAUGGUUGAGAGUUUUAGUUGCGGGUCGCACAAUUUGACGGUCACCAUAACUGUACCAGAGUUGGGGUUAUGUUUGUUCUUUAUACACGUGCUAGGCCAGUCAACAUGUCAGUCGUAUGCGAGUAAGUGAUCACGCACAAUAACUGGCGUCCGAGCAUUAUAAACCCUAAAGGGCUACGCGAAGUAUAUUAAAAACUUAAAGCGCGGAACCACCUUGCGGAAAAAUUUAGUGAUUCGCGAAAAAUAUUAAAAAACAGUGAAGGGAGAAACAUCAGAACCUCACACAGACCUAAAAGCAGUGCAGUGCGUGCAUUAAGGAGAACCUACGGGAAACAUCAGAACCUCGUAAAUAAGUGCAUCAAACAGUGGAAGAACCCGUUCCCGAGUAUCCAACAAAAAAAGGACUAAACGAAAUCCCGGCGAUGCUGCUAUUUCUGUAAGGAAUUACAAAUAUUUCCUAUAUUUUACAAAAAAUAUAUUACCAUACUAUAUUAUAUUUCAUAAUAAUUAUAUCAUUAUAUUUUAUAUAAACUACAAACAAAUUCAAAAAAAUAUACUUUAUACAAAAAGAAGAAUUUAAAAUAAAAAAAUCA